GCCUAAACGAGAGAAUAAUUGAUUUAAUUUUGAUUAUAUUUAUAGAUUACAUAUAUGAUUUUCUCCAUUCCAGUCCAUCAUCGUUUUCAAUCCACGCAAUGCAACAUAAACUCAUUCCAUUCAAUUUCAUCAAUUCUAAACAUUGCCCAAAUGAAUGGUUUUUUCUUGAUUAACAUCAUAGUCCAGUCCUCCCGGUUCACAAUUCGAAAUUGGUCAUACAUACCCAAAGUGAGGGUCAAAGUGCCACUUCUCUACCACCAUCAGGAAGUGGCCUAACAGCUCUAUCUUUUGAUCUCGCAUCUCGCAGUUUUGCAAUCUCGGGAUGGUCGGGUUCCAUGUAGCAUCGAGCUCUGUAGGCUGCCAAAUGAGCAUAGUAUGCUGGAGGCACUGCACACAAAACAGACAUUUAUAUAUGAUUCACAUGAAAUCUCAAUGGAAGACCAUAAUAAAAUAAGAAGAAUGAUGUGAUUAAAAUCAAAAGCAUAGCUUACCUCCAUGGGCAAAUAGUUCAACUUCCUUUGACUUCCUACUUGAAGGCAAGGGGAGGAAGAAAGCAAUCAUUUCUUAAGAGGUCAGUCCUAAAGAAAAAAACAAGUUCAAUUUGCUUAAAAGUUAAUUAGCCAUACAUAAGCUCCCUUGUGGGUUGUGAAGUCAAUCCUGAUAUUCUGUACUUUCUUCUGAAAUUUCCUCUAUGUGUGACUUCAACUUUUACUCCUCUUAAGGCCUUUUUAAUCUGCUUGCAAGUGACAUCAUAAAGAUUAUGCUGGUUAGAUAUUGCUUAAA